UACGAAGGGGGCUAGCGUUGCUCGGAAUCACUGGGCGUAAAGCGCACGUAGGCGGAUCGCUAAGUCAGGGGUGAAAUCCUGGAGCUCAACUCCAGAACUGCCUUUGAUACUGGCAAUCUCGAGUCCGGGAGAGGUGAGUGGAACUGCGAGUGUAGAGGUGAAAUUCGUAGAUAUUCGGAAGAACACCAGUGGCGAAGGCGGCUCACUGGCCCGAUACUGACGCUGAGGUGCGAAAGCGUGGGGAGCAAACAGG
rnacentral:rRNA from 1 species